GAUCAACGCUGGCGGCGUGCCUAACACAUGCAAGUCGAACGCGAAAGCCCUUUCGGGGGGUAAGUAGAGUGGCGUCCGGGUGAGUAACACGUAGGUAAUCUACCUUCGGGUGGGGAAUAACUCGCCGAAAGGCGAGCUAAUACCGCAUAAUGCAGCGGCACCUAAUGGUGAUUAGUUGUUAAAGCGGGGGAUCGUAAGACCUCGCGCCUGAAGAGGAGCCUGCGGCAGAUUAGCUAGNGGUGAGGUAAUGGCUCACCAAGGCUUCGAUCUGUAGCUGGUCUGAGAGGACGGCCAGCCACACUGGCACUGACACACGGGCCAGACUCCUACGGGAGGCAGCAGUGGGGAAUUUUGGGCAAUGGGCGCAAGCCUGACCCAGCAACGCCGCGUGAGGGAGGAAAUCCUUCGGGAUGUAAACCUCACAAGCAAGGGAAGAGAGCUCAGGACCAAAUAAGUCCUGAGUCCGACGGUACC
rnacentral:rRNA from 1 species